rnacentral:rRNA from 1 species
AGAGUUUGAUCAUGGCUCAGGAUGAACGCUGGCGGCGUGCCUAACACAUGCAAGUCGAACGGUAACAGGUUCUCACUAUGCUUUUGAAGUUUCGAAGGUUUAGUGAGAAUGCUGACGAGUGGCGGACGGCUGAGUAACGCGUGGGAACGUGCCCCAAAGUGAGGGAUAAGCACCGGAAACGGUGUCUAAUACCGCAUAUGAUCUUCGGAUUAAAGCAGCAAUGCGCUUUGGGAGCGGCCUGCGUCGGAUUAGGUUGUUGGUGAGGUAAUGGCUCACCAAGCCGACGAUCCGUAGCUGGUCUGAGAGGAUGACCAGCCAGACUGGAACUGAGACACGGUCCAGACUCCUACGGGAGGCAGCAGUGAGGAAUCUUCCACAAUGGGGGCAACCCUGAUGGAGCAACGCCGCGUGCAGGAUGAAGGCCUUCGGGUCGUAAACUGCUUUUAUAAGUGAGGAAUAUGACGGUAACUUAUGAAUAAGGAUCGGCUAACUACGUG